UUGGAAACGACUGCUAAGACUGGAUAGGAGACAAGAAGGCAUCUUCUUGUUUUUAAAAGACCUAGCAAUAGGUAUGCUUAGGGAGGAGCUUGCGUCACAUUAGUUAGUUGGUGGGGUAAAGGCCUACCAAGACUAUGAUGUGUAGCCGGGCUGAGAGGUUGAACGGCCACAUUGGGACUGAGACACGGCCCAAACUCCUACGGGAGGCAGCAGUAGGGAAUUUUCGGCAAUGGAGGAAACUCUGACCGAGCAACGCCGCGUGAACGAUGAAGUAUUUCGGUACGUAAAGUUCUUUUAUUAGGGAAGAAUAAAUGAUGGAAAAAUCAUUCUGACGGUACCUAAUGAAUAAGCCCCGGCUAACUAUGUGCCAGCAGCCGCGGUAAUACAUAGGGGGCAAGCGUUAUCCGGAAUUAUUGGGCGUAAAGGGUGCGUAGGCGGUUAAAUAAGUUUAUGGUCUAAGUGCAAUGCUCAACAUUGUGAUGCUAUAAAAACUGUUUAGCUAGAGUAAGAUAGAGGCAAGUGGAAUUCCAUGUGUAGUGGUAAAAUGCGUAAAUAUAUGGAGGAACACCAGUAGCGAAGGCGGCUUGCUGGGUCUUUACUGACGCUGAGGCACGAAAGCGUGGGGAGCAAACAGGAUUAGAUACCCUGGUAGUCCACGCCGUAAACGAUGAGUACUAAACGUUGGGUAAAACCAGUGUUGAAGUUAACACAUUAAGUACUCCGCCUGAGUAGUACGUACGCAAGUAUGAAACUUAAAGGAAUUGACGGGACUCCGCACAAGCGGUGGAUCAUGUUGUUUAAUUCGAAGGUACCCGAAAAACCUCACCAGGUCUUGACAUGCUUCUGCAAAGCUGUAAAAACACAGUGGAGGUUAUCAGUUGCACAGGUGGUGCAUGGUUGUCGUCAGCUCGUGUCGUGAGAUGUUGGGUUAAGUCCCGCAACGAGCGCAACCCUUAUUGUUAGUUACCAGCACGUAAUGGUGGGGACUUUAGCAAGACUGCCAGUGAUAAAUUGGAGGAAGGUGGGGACGACGUCAAAUCAUCAUGCCCCUUAUGACCUGGGCUACAAACGUGAUACAAUGGCUGUUACAAAGGGUAGCUGAAGCGCAAGUUUUUGGCGAAUCUCAAAAAAACAGUCUCAGUUCGGAUUGAAGUCUGCAACUCGACUUCAUGAAGUUGGAAUCGCUAGUAAUCGCGAAUCAGCAUGUCGCGGUGAAUACGUUCUCGGGGUUUGUACACACCGCCCGUCA
rnacentral:rRNA from 3 species